GUGCUCAUUUAAGCAGCAGAGAUACUAAAAUUGGAAUGAUACAGAGAUCAGCAUGGCCCCUGUUCAAGGAGGACACACAAGUUGUAAAAUGUCUCAUAUUUAG